AUAAUAAAACGAGUUUGAGGUAACAUUAAUAAGACUAAAAUGAGAUAUGUCAAAUAAUACCGACCGUCCCUAGAGCAAGUGGCAAAGGGUUUGGUGGUUGAUACCCGAGACCCAAGUUUGAAUCAUAGUUGAUUCACAUUUUCAGCUAAGUUUAUUUCUUUUUUAUUUCUUUUUUUUUUCGAGAAAUAGGUAGCAAGCUACUUGCUUCAUUCAUUAAGCGAAAUAGCUAAAUUUAUUUCUAAAUGAAAUAAACGAAACAGGUAGCGUGCUACCUAUCUGUCAAAAAGAGAUCUGUCAAAUAAUUUAUAAGUACCGAUAAGCUUUUUUAGAAGAUAA
rnacentral:lncRNA from 1 species